ACAAAAAUCCCCAUGACCCACUUCCCGCAGGUCGCAAUCCCUCGAUCCCCACUUCUCGUAGUCCCUUGAUCCAAUCCACCCCGACACAUCGGCGCCUCCCCCCACCAGCCCGCCGCCGCCGCCACCCGCUGUAACCCCGCGCACCGCUCCGCCGGCCAGGAUCCGGCCGCCGCCCCCGCCCCCAGCCCUGUCUCCAACCGGCACCGCCGUCCCACGCUCGUCGUCAUUGGCUGCUCGCAUCCCCGCCACCAGGAUCCUCCGCCUCCCGUGCAUCUUCCUCCCGACUUCCCGGCGCCGCCCCGUUGGCCUCCUCCCGCGGCCUCACCACCGCCAUCCUCGCGUGGCCCAGCCGCUGGCCUACUCCCACAGCCCUACGUGAUCCAGCACCACCAGCUACCGCCAUGCGCACCACCCAAGCCAACAGUGGGGUGCUAUAGGCAGGCGGCGGUGUGUGUGGGUGGUCGGGUGGUGUGGGGAUGACCCUACUGCCAUGGGCCUCGCCGCCAUAGCCGGAUGCCCCACCUCUACAACCACCCCAGCCAUCAUCGUGUGGGUGCUUGUUGGAGGCUAAGAGCAGCAAGAGAGGAGACCGUGGCCACCUUGACCACUAGCAACAGCUUCUGCUGCCACCACCGGAGUGUCAUGGCCGACACAGGUUGCCGUCGUCCUCGUCAUACACGUUCAGCAGCUCCUCUCUUCUGUCACCAAUUUAGACCAGGCAGCCAGGAGUAUGGGCAAUGGAAGACAGCUGCGAGUUCCUCGUGGUCGUUGCUGGGCAUUGGCUAGUUGUAGGCAACGACGAGCAAGAUUCCAUGGCCAUCUGUGAGUGAAGUGCACGCCAUAUGUUUGUUAGUUUGCGUCAAUGCACUGGAUAGGUAGUUGCUAUUGUUACUGUUCAAGAUAGAUUAGGCUAGGAACAAAAUUGUUACCGAACCAUGUAUGUGUUUACCUCUAUCAAUUUUUUUCCCAUGGACUUACCUCUAUCUAAUUUGUCCAGCAGUAGUAGUUCAAACAUUCCACCUCUGAACUUCAAGAUUUUUACUGUGCCUGUAAACAUCCCAGGUUUCUUUAUAUAUAUUUUUGAUUGUGUGUUUUCUUUGAAGAUAUAUUAGGUCCAACAACAAGGAAUGAGUCACCAGAAAUCAAUCAACCGUGGCCGCCGAAUAAUUUAACAUCUGCACAUUGUUGCCUAUGCAAAAAUGUGUGAUCACUUGCUUCGCACUUUUGUGCUAUUUUUUUGAAUUACUGAAGUUUACUUCUUUGUAUGCAGCAAAACUCCAGUGCAUCGCAUCUAUUUGUGUCUAUCCUCUGUAAACGGCCAUUGUUGCAGGUCGGCAUCACCUGAAGCGCCAGUUCAGCUACAAAAAAGAGCAGUGUACGUUGUUGUCUACUCCACUCACUUGUUGAAAUAAAAAUCCAGCCGGAUCUUGCUACACACAAGGAAGAAAUAGAGAAGAAGCAAAGCAUAGAUCGACUGCUGUUGGUCCACGCCGUGCGCGCCACCCAUCCUGACUGCUGCCUACAGCAACACAUCUUCACCUCCCGCAAAUCUGCGCGUCAGUCACCGCCACUACAAACCGCGGUGUGCGCCAGCCGACUCCGACGAGCUUGUGAACCUGUGAAUCCUACCGUCUCUAAUUCUGUUGUUAUUUACCAUCGCAUAGCUGUAGAGCAUUCGUUGCAGGCCGAGAAAAAUUCUUGUGGUAGAUACAAAAAAUGCUUGCGUCAAGUAUAAAAAAAUGCUUGUGGAAGAUCUCCUUCGCUCUCUUUACGUGUGACCAUUGUAGAGAUCUCACAUUUCCUUUGUUCUUGUGUACAAGUUGAUGACAUCUACCUAUUUGACGUUAUACUUA